UACGUAGGAGGCGAGCGUUGUCCGGAAUCACUGGGCGUAAAGCGCGUGUAGGCGGGAAGGCAAGUCUGCUGUGAAAGCGCCUGGCUUAACCGGGCGAGGUCGGCGGAAACUGCUUACCUGGAGGACGGUAGAGGGGGGUGGAAUUCCCGGUGUAGUGGUGAAAUGCGCAGAUAUCAGGAAGAACACCCGUGGCGAAAGCGGCUCUCUGGAACGGUACUGACGCUGAGACGCGAAAGCGUGGGGAGCGAACAGG
rnacentral:rRNA from 1 species